AAAAAGCAAACCCUGGGUUUGCCGUGUCCAACUUAUAUGAAAUUUUUUUAUAAUUCGUAUUUUUAUUGUUGUUAGAUGAUAAAACAUGAUUAAUAUUUUGUGCGUGACUUGUCUUUUUAAUUUUUUUCAUAAUUUUUUCAAAUAAGACGAACGGUCAAACAUUGGGUACGGAAACCAGGGUUUGUCUUUUU
rnacentral:pre_miRNA from 1 species